ACUCUGGCGAACCAUCGAAAAGAAAACAGCGAUUACUUCCGUUCAGCGCGUCGAGCUCUUGGCAAUUUUCCGAAACAAAUUACAAAUUCGAAGGAAUCGUGAAAAGUGCGACCGCCGCCGCUUUGCCCAGUGCCAAAUUGAACUAUUGAUGAAUCCGCCGCGUGUCCAAAAGUCGUGUUUUAUGUUUUAGUGAGUAAAGUGAGUUGCAAACAGUCAAGCCGCUAAGAAGUGCCGAAGAGCGAGAAUAAAAUUAAGAAACGGCGACAGACGGAGAAUGUGCAAAAAGGAAGCAGACGCAAAUUCAACUUGUGUCGGUUUCUGGUGUCUCCCUGCCUCGCUCUCGCUCGCAUCGUCCGCAUCUGGCCGUGUUAUGUGUGAGUGGUGUCUGUGUGGCGUCGCCUAAAGUGCAUGUGAAAAAUAUUCAAGAAUCCGAUCGAAGCGGGCGACCAAGAGUUAUAUGGAUGUAAAGGCUAAAACCGUGGUUGCCGGAAAAGUGUGAAAAUCACUGGAGACGGCGGCCCUGAAUAGGGUGAAGCCAAAUACACCGCAGCCGCCUGCAGUGCGUGCACUUGUAUAUGUGUGUGCAUGUGCGCAAUUAAGUGUGUAUGUGUGUGGAAGUAAAGCAAAAGCAAGGAGAAGAAAAAAACUGUUUUCGCAGCCGGGGUACAAACUCCAAUUGGAAUCUGUAGGAGCUGGAAGAAAAGCCAUUCAGCGCAUGCGUGGCUGCAAAAAUCAAACUCCAAAAGUGAAUUGAAUGGAUUCGAAUGGACGAGCGGAAUCACUGAUUGUCCAAUGGAUUUCGACUUUCGCAAAAUUUGCGCGCUUUUCACACUCGAUUAAUGGAAUUAAUGUAAAUAUGUAAAACGAAGC